rnacentral:rRNA from 1 species
UUGUCCAGGCAAAUCCGGAUAAUCAAGGCUGAGGUGUGAUGACGAGGCACUACGGUGCUGAAGUAACAAAUGCCCUGCUUCCAGGAAAAGCCUCUAAGCAUCAGGUAACAUCAAAUCGUACCCCAAACCGACACAGGUGGUCAGGUAGAGAAUACCAAGGCGCUUGAGAGAACUCGGGUGAAGGAACUAGGCAAAAUGGUGCCGUAACUUCGGGAGAAGGCACGCUGGUGUGUAGGUGAAGUCCCUGCGGAUGGAGCUGAGACCAGUCGAAGAUACCAGCUGGCUGCAACUGUUUAUUAAAAA